rnacentral:rRNA from 1 species
AUUGAACGCUGGCGGCAUGCCUUACACAUGCAAGUCGAACGGCAGCACGGGUGCUUGCACCUGGUGGCGAGUGGCGAACGGGUGAGUAAUACAUCGGAACGUACCUUAUCGUGGGGGAUAACGCAGCGAAAGCUGUGCUAAUACCGCAUACGCCCUGAGGGGGAAAGCGGGGGAUCGCAAGACCUCGCGCGAUUAGAGCGGCCGAUGCCUGAUUAGCUAGUUGGUGGGGUAAAAGCCCACCAAGGCGACGAUCAGUAGCUGGUCUGAGAGGACGGUCAGCCACACUGGGACUGAGACACGGCCCAGACUCCUACGGGAGGCAGCAGUGGGGAAUUUUGGACAAUGGGGGCAACCCUGAUCCAGCAAUGCCGCGUGGGUGAAGGAGGCCUUCGGGUUGUAAAGCUCUUUUGUCAGGGAAGAAACACCGGCUCUAACACAGUCCGGGAAUGACGGUACCUGAAGAAUAAGCACCGGCUAACUACGUGCCAGCCGCCGCCGUAA